rnacentral:rRNA from 1 species
GACGAACGCUGGCGGCGUGCCUAACACAUGCAAGUCGAACGAGACCUUCUGGUAUUUUUGCCCACGGGUUCAUAACGCGUGGGAACCUUCCCUUAUGGGGGGAAUAACUCCCCGAAAGGGGUACUAAUAGGGGAUAAUUUCUUCUGACCAAUGAUAUAUUUCCUUUGAAGGUUGCCGCGUUGGAGUAGCUAUUUCGUAGGGUAAAAGUCUACCAAGGCGACGAUCCAUAGCUGGUGUGAGAGGAUGAUCAGCCACCCUGGGAGUGGGACACGGCCCAGACGCCUACGGGAAGCAGCAGUGCGGAAUAUUGGACGACGGGCGAAAGCAUGAUCCAGCAAUGCCGCGAGAGUGAUGAAGUAGUUAGGGUCGUAAAGGUCUUUUAACAGGGAUGAUAAUGACAGUACCGGGCGAAUAAGCUACGGCUAACUACGUG